rnacentral:rRNA from 1 species
AACGAACGCUGGCGGCAGGCCUAACACAUGCAAGUCGAACGAGAAGCCACCUUCGGGUGGUGGAUAGUGGCAGACGGGUGAGUAACGCGUGGGAACGUGCCUUUCGGUUCGGGAUAACCCAGGGAGACUUGGGCUAAUACCGGAUACGCCCUCCGGGGGAAAGAUUCAUUGCCGAAAGAUCGGCCCGCGUCGGAUUAGCUAGUUGGUGGGGUAAAAGCCUACCAAGGCGACGAUCCGUAGCUGGUCUGAGAGGAUGACCAGCCACACUGGGACUGAGACACGGCCCAGACUCCUACGGGAGGCAGCAGUGGGGAAUAUUGGACAAUGGGCGCAAGCCUGAUCCAGCCAUGCCGCGUGGGUGAAGAAGGCCCUAGGGUUGUAAACCCCUUUCAGCGGGGAAGAUAAUGACGGUACCCGCAGAAGAAGCCCCGGCUAACUCCGUGCCAGCCGCCGCCGUAACAC